UACUCCUACGGGAGGCAGCAGUAGGGAAUCUUCGGCAAUGGACGGAAGUCUGACCGAGCAACGCCGCGUGAGUGAAGAAGGUUUUCGGAUCGUAAAGCUCUGUUGUAAGAGAAGAACGAGUGUGAGAGUGGAAAGUUCACACUGUGACGGUAUCUUACCAGAAAGGGACGGCUAACUACGUGCCAGCAGCCGCGGUAAUACGUAGGUCCUGAGCGUUGUCCGGAUUUAUUGGGCGUAAAGCGAGCGCAGGCGGUUAGAUAAGUCUGAAGUUAAAGGCUGUGGCUUAACCAUAGUACGCUUUGGAAACUGUUUAACUUGAGUGCAAGAGGGGAGAGUGGAAUUCCAUGUGUAGCGGUGAAAUGCGUAGAUAUAUGGAGGAACACCGGUGGCGAAAGCGGCUCUCUGGCUUGUAACUGACGCUGAGGCUCGAAAGCGUGGGGAGCAAACAGGAUUAGAUACCCUGGUAGUCCACGCCGUAAACGAUGAGUGCUAGGUGUUAGACCCUUUCCGGGGUUUAGUGCCGUAGCUAACGCAUUAAGCACUCCGCCUGGGGAGUACGACCGCAAGGUUGAAACUCAAAGGAAUUGACGGA
rnacentral:rRNA from 1 species